rnacentral:rRNA from 1 species
ACAUGCCUAUAGCAUAGCGUUAAUGCAUUAGAUCCCAUUAGAACUCCGCAAUUAAGCAUGCUCAGGCUACAGUAGUACUGGGAUGGGUGAUCGCCCGGGAAGUCCUAAUGUUUUACAUGCC